AAUGAGACCACAGGAAGUGGGCAGUGCUGCUGUCACAAAACAGUUACACUGGCAAGUAACAGAGAAACUUAUAGAACAAAACCAUCUGACACAUUAAUGCAAACAAGAGCACUAAGAAACGGAGAGAAAACUGAGCAGAGGAGCUGAGUGAAGCUUCAUCUGCAUUAAAUACAAUCGAGGAAGAAAAAGCUGAGAAGGGAGGAUCUCUGGGAGGAAACCGGAGACGCUGGAAGGAGACAGACUGCACUGCUAAGCAUGAAGAAGCUCCUUGUGGUCACCUUCUGUCUCUGCUCAGCUGGAUGCUGGGUGGUGUCAGGUGUGAUCACAGUGUCUGGAUAUGAAAGACAGUCGGUCACAAUCAGAUGUUCUCAUGGUAACGCUGGAACUAACUUGAAGUAUUUCUGUGGGAGCGAAUGUACAAGGUAUGAAGACAUUCUCGUCAAGACCGAAAAUAAUCAUCCAAACAAGACGAAUGGGAGGUUCACCCUGCAUGAUCAUGGAUCAGGAACCUUCAAUGUAACCAUCACUGGACUGAGGAUGACCGACACUGGGAUAUACUGGUGUGGAGUAGAGCGAACAGGCGCUGACACCUACACAGAGGUGCACCUCACAGUGAUAGAAGCUCCUACCACCACAACUACCACCACAACUACCACCACUCCCCAAACUACCCCCUCUACUACGCCUCAAUCCACAGCGCCCCCACCUGGUACCACUGUGUAUAAUCAGAAGACAAAUUCUACAGCUCCAUUGUCCACCAGCAUGACCGCGGCAUGGUAUGGUAAGAUUCACUCACCUCCACACUCUAAGCAUUAGUAACAUCAGUUACAUUAAAUACACUCAAAUGCAUUUUCACACAGAAUUCAACAUUCAUGGAGUCUGGGUUGUUUUCUGAGUGUCAGAAAUGUGCAUAUAAUAAAUUAUAACUUUUUAUAAUCUUUUCGUUCAGCGAAAUUCACUUCCUGUGCCCAACUGGGAAAGAGGAAGCUGACCAGCAGCAGAAAUAUGGCAGCACUGAGAAAUCACAUGAUUUUAGAGGAAUGAGUUUACAGAAGUAUGACGAGGAGAUUAUCCACUGGAGGGAGAUGGGAGCGUGUAUGUCACCAGCCUGCGUCGUUUCCUGGCUGUGCUGCCUAGUCUGUGAUCAUAGCCACACUUUUCCAGUCUUCAGAUAGAUAGAACGACCAAUGAGGUAUUGAAAACACCUGUGGAUGUCAACGAGCAGCAAUCAAGCAUAAUAAGCACCAAUUAGGCAGAUUUAAAAUGACUGUGAUACUCAGCUCCUUCUAGACAUUUACUGGUGUGUUUACAAACAUGGUGAAGUCAAGAGAAUGGUCCAGGAAGACAAGAGAAGAGGUGAUUUAUCUUCACGGGAAGGGCAAUGGCUAUAAGAAGAUUGCAAAGAUGUUAAACAUUCCAAGAGACACCAUAGGAAGCAUCAUUCGCAAAUUCAAGGCAAAGGGCACUGAAACGCUACCUGGUCGUGGCAGAAAGAAGAUGCUGACUUCGACUGCUGUGCGCUACCGAGAAAAGUCCCCGUGUGACUGCUGAGGAACUGAAAAAAGAUUUGUCAGAUGCGGGUACUGAAGUUUCAGCUCAGACAAUAAGGCGCACGCUGCGUAAUGAAGGCCUCCAUGCCAGAACUCCCAGGCGCAACCCCUCGCUGUCUCCAAAGAAUAAGAAGAGUCGACUGCAGUAUGCCAAACGUCAUGUGGACAAACCACAAAAGUUUUGGGAUAGUGUUCUGUGGACAAAAUUAGAACUGUUUGGGCCCAUGGAUCAACGCUAUGUUUGGAGGAGGAAGAACAAGGCCUAUGAAGAAAAGAACACCUUGCCUACUGUGAAGCAUGGCGGGGGGUCAAUCAUGCUUUGGGGCUGUUUUGCUUCUGCAGGUACAGGGAAGCUUCAGCGUGUGCAAGGUACCAUGAAUUCCCUUCAGUACCAGGAAAUAUUGCAAGAAAAUGUGGUGCAGUCCGUCACAAACCUGAGGCUUGGGAGACAUUGGACCUUUCAACAGGACAAUGAUCCCAAGCAUACCUCCAAGUCCACUAGAGCAUGGUUGCAGAAUAAAGGCUGGAACAUUUUGGAGUGGCCAUCGCAGUCACCAGACUUAAAUGCGAUUGAGAACCUCUGGUGGGACUUAAAGAAAGCAGUUGCAGCGCGCAAGCCUAAGAAUGUGACUGAACUGGAGGCUUUUGCCCAUGAAGAAUGGGCUAAGAUACCCGUAGAUCGCUGCAAGACACUUGUGUCAAGCUAUGCUUCACGUUUAAAAGCUGUUAUAACUGGAAAAGGAUGUUGUACUAAGUACUAAGAAUGAAUGUCACUUGGGGGUUGAAUAAAACUGAUAAUGAUGUGAGCACAGAAAAGACAUUUGUGGUUAUUUCAUUAUAAAUGUUAUGUUAUAUUUCUCUGACUUACAAGUGUCUCUUUGAUUUAAUUGUAAACAAGAUGACUGAAAUGAUCAAAAUCAAUGCCAAACUGGCCAAAACACUCAAUUUCAGUGGGGGUUGAAUAAUUUUGUACACAACUGUAUCAAAUCAAAUUUAUUAAUAAAACACUUUUUAAACAACAGGAGUUGAUCCCAAAGUGCUGAAGAAAAAGCAAAUAACACAGAAUCAACAAAAAACUAAAAGAAAAUAAAAGAAACCAAUAAAACAAUCAGUAAACAAUGACACUAUAAAGAAAGUAAAACCUGGAGUGACCAGGCGAGCGAAAAGCCAGUGAGUAAAAAUGCGUUUUAAGACGGGAUUUGAAAACCGACAGUGAAGGGGCCCUUCUGACAGUUAGAGGUUAGGCACUGCACAGUUUAGGGGCUAGGACAGGAAAGGCACGAUCACCUCUCUGCUUCAGCCUAGACUUCCGGACACUCCAUAAAGACAGAUCAGCUGACCUAAGUGAUCUCGGUGGUGUGUAAGGAGCUAUGAGUUCGGUGAUGUAUGAAGGGGCCAGUCCGUUUAAGGCUUUGAAAGUGAACAAGAGAACCUUGAAGCUAAUUCUGAACUGUACAGGGAGCCAGUGGAGAGAGGCAAGUAUUGGAGUAAUGUGGGUGUGUAUUUUAGCUCCUGUUAAAAGACGCACUGCAGUAUUCUGUACAAGCUGCAGACAGGAAAGGGAGGUCUGAUUAAUACCUGCAUAAAGUAUAUUACAAUAGUCAAAUCUCGAUUAAAUAAAUGCAUGUAUUUAUUUUUCUAAAUUUUUGAAUGACAGAAAGGGCUUAACUUUGGAUAAAAGUCUUAGCUGAAAGAAGCUUUAUUUAACUACAGACAUAAUUUGUUUAUCCAUCCAUCCAUCCAUUUUUAAAACCGCUUAUCCUACUGGGUCGCGGGGGGUCCGGAGCCUAUCCCGGAAGCAAUGGGCAAGAGGAAGGGACCGACCCUGGAUGGUGGGCCAGCCCAUCGCAGCUAAUUUGUUUAUCCAUUUUAAAAUCUUAUGAAAGAUCAGCUGGUUUACAUCUCUGUGGGUCUGGGUGUCGCAGCCCUGGUGUUUGGCUUGAUUGUGGCUGCAAUCAUCAAGGUACGACUCAAAGCUGGGAGAUCAGAGGAAAUACAGAAUCCCAGCAUGGCACCCAUAGGCACUGGAAGAAGAGAAAAGAGGGUGGAUGACUAUGACAUGAUGCUCCAACAGCCUGCUGCAGAUACUGCUGUAAACCUACACAAAGACCCUAACCGCGUCACCUCUACAUCCUGCAAGAAUGACUGUAUCUAUGAAAACUUCACCACAAGCCCCCUAGAUGAUGAUCUCAUCUAUGCAAACACCAUCCAAUAAGAGGCUUCAGCAUGAAGGAGAUUCAAAGAUCAGAAAACUACACGCUGCAGCUUUACCAAACGUCUAACAACACAGAGUUUCUCCAGCACGGGCAUCAGCCCACAAGCUGAACUUCACACUUGUCUUAUUCCUGUGGCCCAUAUCUUUGUAAGAAAUGAAUUUCCUCCAAUCAGAGACAUCUCAGUGCGCAACACAAAGAUGAUCACAUCAUCUCCUUCAGAAGUUCUAAUGAAUCCUUUUUUGACCUUCAUUCAGCAGUUGAGACCUUCCUUGCCUUUUUGCUUUCCUGGCCAUUUAAUUGCAGUCGAGCUUUAUUAAGCCAUAUCUGUUGUGUUAGCUUAGCCAUUCCAAACCUACACUCCCUUAUAGUGUUUGAUUUGAGCACAGGCAUGAUCAAAUGGCUGCCAUGACAACAGGGGUCGAGAUGGCAGCAUCAGCCACACUGAUACCGGACGUUCUGUGGUGGGGGUGGCUCAGCAGGUCAGGCCUCUGUGCCAGUGGUGUCUCUAUUGUGUGUGUCACAGAAGAGAGCAUGAUGGGAUACAUGAAAAAGGAGCAUUCCAAUGUACUGUAUUUAUUGUACCACUGCAAAUACAGCAUCAUUCCACUGUACUGUACCACUGCAAAAAAAGCAUCAUUCCACUGUACUGUACCACUGCAAAUAAAGCAUCAUUCCACUGUACUGUACCACUGCAAA